rnacentral:rRNA from 1 species
CCUACGGGAGGCAGCAGUAGGGAAUCUUCCACAAUGGACGAAAGUCUGAUGGAGCAACGCCGCGUGAAUGAAGAAGGCCUUCGGGUCGUAAAAUUCUGUUGUCAGAGAAGAACGUGCGUGAGAGUAACUAGUUCACGUAUUGACGGUAUCUGACCAGAAAGCCACGGCUAACUACGUGCCAGCAGCCGCGGUAAUACGUAGGUGCCAGCAGCCGCGGUAAU